CGCAGGCUGGCCUGUAGGCAUCUCGUGAAAUCCCACGGCUCAACCGUGGAACUGCGGGGUGAACCACAGGCCUUGAGGUAGGUAGGGGUCAUCGGAACGUACGGUGGAGCGGUGAAAUGCAUAGAUAUCGUACGGAACGCCGAAGGUGAAGACAGGUGACUGGGCCUAUUCUGACGCUCAUGGACGAAAGCGUGGGGAUCAAACAGGAUUAGAUACCCUGGUAGUCCACGCCGUAAACGAUGCGCACUGGGUCGGUGUCCCUUCGACGGGUUGCCGGCCGUAGAGAAAUUGUUAAGUGCGCCGCCUGGGGAGUACGGUCGCAAGGCUAAAACUCAAAGGAAUUGACGGGGGCUCACACAAGCGGUGGAGCAUGUUGCUUAAUUCGAAGCAACGCGAAGAACCUUACCUGGGCUUGACAUGCACGGAUCAGCUCUUGGAAACAUGAGUGACGCCUUCGGGUGGAACGUGCACAGGUGCUGCAUGGCUGUCGUCAGCUCGUGCUGUGAAGUGUUGGGUUAAGUCCUUUAACGAGCGCAACCCUUGUCGCUAGUUGCCAGCGAGUAAUGUCGGGGACUCUAGCGAGACUGCCGGUGUCAAACCGGAGGAAGGUGGGGAUGACGUCAAGUCCUCAUGGCCCUUACGCCCAGGGAUGCAAACGUGCUACAAUGGUAGAUACAGAGCGAUGCGAGACCGCGAGGUGGAGCAAAUCGCAAAAAGUCUGCCCCAGUUCGGAUUGCAGUCUGCAACUCGACUGCAUGAAGUUGGAAUCGCUAGUAAUCGGAGAUC
rnacentral:rRNA from 1 species